GCUAAACGCGAAGAACCUUACCUGGUCUUGACAUCCACGGAACUUUCCAGAGAUGGAUUGGUGCCUUCGGGAACCGUGAGACAGGUGCUGCAUGGCUGUCGUCAGCUCGUGUCGUGAGAUGUUGGGUUAAGUCCCGCAACGAGCGCAACCCUUGUCCUUAGUUGCCAGCACGUAAUGGUGGGAACUCUAAGGAGACCGCCGGUGACAAACCGGAGGAAGGCGGGGACGACGUCAAGUCAUCAUGGCCCUUACGUGUGGGGCUAGAAACGUGCUACAAUGGUGGUGACAGUGAGCAGCGAGGUCGCGAGGCCAAGCUAAUCUCUAAAAGCCAUCUCAGUUCAGAUUGUAGUCUGCAACUCGACUACAUGAAGUUGGAAUCGCUAGUAAUCGCAAAUCAGCAUGUUGCGGUGAAUACGUUCCCGGGUCUUGUACACACCG
rnacentral:rRNA from 1 species